UACGGAGGGUGCAAGCGUUAUCCGGAUUCACUGGGUUUAAAGGGUGCGUAGGUGGGUUUGUAAGUCAGUGGUGAAAUCUCCAAGCUUAACUUGGAAACUGCCGUUGAUACUAUAAAUCUUGAAUGUUGUGGAGGUGAGCGGAAUAUGUCAUGUAGCGGUGAAAUGCUUAGAUAUGACAUAGAACACCAAUUGCGAAGGCAGCUCACUAACACAAAGAUUGACACUGAGGCACGAAAGCGUGGGGAUCAAACAGG
rnacentral:rRNA from 1 species